GCACUUGAAAAGCAAAAAAAAGAGAGAAAAGGAGAGAGGUGAGGUGAUUUUCGGCCACAAGGCCGGUCACCGUCCGACCGUCGGCCGCCGUCCGUCGCCGGCGCCGGCCACCGCGUGCGGUGGUUGAAAAAGGUGAUGGUGGUAGACAAUGGAUAUCAAAAAUGGGAGGAAAAUGGGACAAGUGGGAAAGUGGCUAGGUGGCUAGGGUUUCUUGUUUUUUUGGGGGG